rnacentral:rRNA from 1 species
GAUGAACGCUGGCGGCGUGCCUAAUACAUGCAAGUCGAGCGAACAGACGAGGAGCUUGCUCCUCUGACGUUAGCGGCGGACGGGUGAGUAACACGUGGAUAACCUACCUAUAAGACUGGGAUAACUUCGGGAAACCGGAGCUAAUACCGGAUAAUAUAUUGAACCGCAUGGUUCAAUAGUGAAAGACGGUUUUGCUGUCACUUAUAGAUGGAUCCGCGCCGCAUUAGCUAGUUGGUAAGGUAACGGCUUACCAAGGCAACGAUGCGUAGCCGACCUGAGAGGGUGAUCGGCCACACUGGAACUAAGACACGGUCCAGACUCCUACGGGAGGCAGCAGUAGGGAAUCUUCCGCAAUGGGCGAAAGCCUGACGGAGCAACGCCGCGUGAGUGAUGAAGGUCUUCGGAUCGUAAAACUCUGUUAUUAGGGAAGAACAAAUGUGUAAGUAACUAUGCACGUCUUGACGGUACCUAAUCAGGAAGCCACGGCUAACUACGUG